rnacentral:lncRNA from 1 species
UGUCCUGGCUAAUCUUAGGAGGAAGGAGUGGGUGGCUUUUCUUCUGCUUACUUAAAUGUCUUCCUUUUAAUGCAUGGAGGGAUGACUCCUCCUCUCUUUCCUUGGUGUUUUUUUUUUUUUUUUUUUUUUUGGAGGAGGAAGAUUUAUUUUAUACCUUCUUUGUCACCACUUCAGGGCCUGGGAAUGUGAAGUUGUAGUUGUAAGUAGAAACAUUUAUUUAGCCAUUAAAAAUGCAGUGCCUCUUUUCAUAACUGUAAAGAAUUUACAUUGCUUCAGCUGAUGAGCCUUACCAUAUAUCCCCUAGGUCUAUCUCUUGUCCUUGGUAGUGGCUGUUCCUAUGUUACAGGUGGGAACUGAAGCCUGAGGGGUUACCUGGCUUGACAGAGAUUGAAAAUCUGUUAUGGGCCCACCUUAGUACUUGAAGUCUGCCAGCCUAACCUUCCAGGAUUUAAGUGUAUGAACUAUGUAAAAUGAUAGACCUUUUAAGAAGGUUUUAUUUUAGUUUUAUUAUUUCUGUGUGUAUGUGUGUGGGUAUGUGCAUGUGAACGUAAGCGCCCAUGGAAUCUAGAAAAGAGCAGUGAAUCCCCGUGAGCUGGAGUUACAGGUGGAUGCGAAUUUCCUGACUUGGGUGUUAGGACCUAAAAUUGGGUCUUUUGCCAUAGCAGUAUAAGUUUUUAACCUUUGAGCCAUUUUUCCAGCCCCCAGCCCUUUUUGAGAUAGAGCCUCAUGUUGAUGUCCAACCUGUUUUGUAGCCAAGCUAGCCUUAAACUCCUGAACCCUGAUUCUCUUGCCUUUCCUUCCCACGUGCUAAGACUAUAGGUGCAUAACAACACAUUCAGUUGGAAGGAUGGCUUUUCUUAAAAAGAUUUGGAGGAAGAAAAUAACCAAAAACCAACUGUUGACAGCUACUUGAAUUCUUAUGCUUAGUAAACCUUUGUCAAAGCAUUGACUACUAAAACCACUUGGAGAAAUUGAUUGAAUAAGUGAACGUUUAACAGUGUAGCACUUGCUCAUUUGUCCUUAAAACUUGGAAUAGGUGAAACUGGAUAGGAAGUGAGGGAGGGAGUAAUGACUGACCUGUAAAAAAAAAAAAGUAAUAAAAAAUUAAAGAAAACAAAAAAAUCCCAGCUCUCCCCAAUUUUCUUAAUAAAUAAAUAGUUAAUAUCAACAUUACAAUCCCUAUGCUGUCUUCUUGUGAUAAACAUUUCUACAUAGUAUCAAUACUGUAUUGUGAAGGCAACAUUGCCUGACACUUUGCUAUCCAGAGCAUUCUGGAACUCAAGACUUGGUAUGAAUUCACUAUCAUGCUGGGCAGUGGUGACUCUCACCCUUAAUCCCAGCACUUGGGAGGCAGAGACAGGCAGAUUUCUGAUUUUGAGGCCAGCCUGGUCUACAGAGUGAGUUCCAGGACAGCCAGGGCUACACAGAGAAACCCUGUCUCAAAAAACAAAAUGAAACAACCCAAACCAACAACCAAGCAAGCAACCAACCAAGCAACCAACCAACCAAUCACAUUAAGGAUACAGUUGGAGAAAGAUCUGGUUAUAUUGGAUGAAGGGGUGAUUAUUGCCUGGUGAUAUAGCUCAGUGAGCAUGUGCUUAGCAUUGGGUUCCAUCCCUAUUCCC